rnacentral:rRNA from 1 species
UUUGGUAAUAAUAUAAAGUCUAACCUGCCCAUUGAGGAAUUAAAAGGCCGCGGUAUUUUGACCGUGCUAAGGUAGCAUAAUCAUUAGUUUUUUAAUUAAAAGCUGGAAUGAAAGGUUGAAUGAGGGAUUAACUGUCUCAAAAAAAAUAAAUUUGAAUUUAAUUUUUAAGUUAAAAAGCUUAAAUUUCUUUAAAAGACGAGAAGACCCUAUAGAGUUUAAUAAAAAAUUUUAAUUUUAUUUUUAGUAUUAAAAUUUAAAUUAAAAUUUUUUAUUUGGUUGGGGUGAUUUAAAAAUUUAAUAAACUUUUUGAAAUUUAAACAUUGAUUUAUGAAAUUUUGAUCCAAAAUUUUUGAUUAAUAGAAUAAAUUACCUUAGGGAUAACAGCGUAAUUUUUUUUGAAAGUUCAUAUUUAAAAAAAAGAUUGCGACCUCGAUGUUGGAUUAAAAUUUAUUUUUGGUGUAGAAGCUAAAAUAUUAAGUCUGUUCGACUUUUAAAAUUUUACAUGAUCUGAGUUUAAACCGGUUUAAGCCAGGUUGGUUUCUAUCUUUAAAUAGUUAAUUUUUUUUAGUACGAAAGGACCAAGAAUUUUUUAUAAUAGAAAUUAUUUGAAUAAAUUAUUAUUUUGGCAGAAAAGUGUAAUUGAUUUAGAAUCAUUAAAUGUAAUUGUUUACAAAUAAUAAUUUGGGAUUUUUCGUUAAUUAUUUUUAGUAGUGUAAUUUUGUUGGUUUGUGUAUUAAUUGGUGUAGCUUUUGUUACUUUACUGGAACGUAAAGUUUU